GUGUCUUUUGAAAGGAGAGCAGGUUAGCACUCCCCUUGACAAGGAUGGAACACGAAUUGGGUCCAGAAGGCACAAAAUCUGGACCCUACCCACUUUUUUUU